UACGUAGGCAGCAAGCGUUGUUCGGAAUUACUGGGCGUAAAGAGUGUGUAGGCGGUGCUCUAAGUUUGAUGUGAAAUCCCGGGGCUUAACCCUGGAAUUGCAUUGAAUACUGGCGGACUAGAGUCCUGGAGAGGAAACUGGAAUUUACGGUGUAGCAGUGAAAUGCGUAGAGAUCGUAAGGAAGACCAGUGGCGAAGGCGAGUUUCUGGACAGGUACUGACGCUGAGGCACGAAGGCCAGGGGAGCAAACGGG
rnacentral:rRNA from 1 species